GAGUACCAUCGAAUCUAUCUCCCAUUCAUGAUCAUGUGGGAAUUUGUGGAUGAGACUGUCUGCUGUCAUGUUGUGUAUUCCUAGUAAGUAUGCAGCUGAUAUUAAGAUACUGUGGGAGAUGCACCAGUUCCAUAGUUUUAGUGCUUCUAUGUACACAGAAUGACACCUGGUGCCUCCGUGAUGGUUUGUGUAAUAUAUGCACGCCAUAUUAUCCGUCAUGACCUUUUUGCGCAUGUCUUUGAUCAGCAGGAGGAAGCAAGUGUACGUGUUGAUGUGGAGGCAUCUCUCACCUGGAGACCAUUUGUCCUGUAUUGUGCAAACAUUGAGAUCCGUGCGGUUAGAAGUAGAGAUGGGGAAGACUGAACAAACAGGAUUCCCAUAUAGUUGUUUACUGGGUCCUUCCACCAAUCAGAGGAUCGCUUGACCCUGGCCCAGAUUCUGAAAACAGGUCCAGUGUGGUCUGAGUGACUUGCUGGGACUCUGCAAAGGACCAUACCCUGAGAAUGCAGUCGUCCAGGUAUAUAGAUCCCAAGGGAUCGAAGAGUGACCCUCAAAUCUUUUAACAUACGGAGAGAGGCAUCUAUAUUUUCAGCAAAUAAUUUUGUCCCCCAAAAGUCUUCCACCGUCAUUUGGACCUCCUUGAGGAAGUCAGAUAGAUGAAGCCACGAGGCCUGUCUCAUCACAACGCUGUCAAAAUAGAACGUGUUGCCGUCAAAUGCACACUGGAGUGACUUUUUGCCACUAACUGGCCCUCAUUU